GAGGAUUGAGGUUCCUUUUCUUUUGGUGCAGGGACCUUCUUAGCAGGCGGUGAAGAAAUGGGUUUCUUCUUUGCAGGGGGUGAAGAAAUGGGUUGCUUCUUUCGCUUUUGAGUAAUCUCCUUCAUUGCAUCAGCCAUUAAUUUCUCAGUGGGAGGUUCCUUACGUUUCUUGAUCUUUUCUGGAAUAGGAGCAGGAGCCUUGCCCUUGUCUUUGGCAAGAAUCUUGUGAGUUGGAAUCGGAACUCUCUUUGUUAGAGUUGGUGGGGGUGAAGGAGUUUCAC
rnacentral:lncRNA from 1 species